UUUAGCUCUGUUUGGAUAUUUGGUAAAAUCAGUUUCGAGUCUUAGUAUUCAGUUACAUAAAAUGUGUUUCUUUUCGCCCAUCUUGGAUUACGGCUUGAAAUGAGGUUUAGUUAUGAUUUUGAGGCUGAAAGUUGCAUCAAGCAUGACAUCGAAGAUCAUGUAUAUCGUGUUCAUGGCAGAGGAGGAUUCUUGAAAAUUUGUCAGGUUCGAAGGUUUGAAACGUUGGAGCAAGCACUUUUGGUGAUAAGGGCUUUAUGGAAAAGUAUUUUUGGUCUUUGCCCCUGUCCUGAUAAGACCCCUUCAAGUGAAAGGAGAUAGUUCUUGUGGUAUCUUGCUUUAGUCACAGAAGGGUGUUCCUUGGAAACAUCCAUAUCCAAAGGCAAACUCAAUAAACCAAAUACUUUAUUCAUAACAGAUUAUUUUAAAUCUGUGAUAAGGGAUAUAAUUUCAUCUGCUUUGCUCCUCUUGGCAUCUCAAGUGAGGUGUCGUUUUGAGGUUGACUCUAUUUUCAUAGAGGAGGAGAUAUUUUUGUGUUCCUAUGAUGUUUAUACCAUUGAAUUGGUGCCCAAGUUUGCGAGAUUUGAUGUACAAGGUGAGUAUCAAAUUGAUGACCUUCGGGUACGCACAAAGUUGAAGACUCUUUUGCUGGAGAUCAUGAGUCGAUCUCGUAUUGGGGCUGGUCCGGAAGCAGAAUUUGAUCUUUUCUUGAAGACUUUCACUGACGGUUGUAAAAAUAUGGAUUUAAAGCCUUAUAUGAAAGUAUAUACUACUAGACUUCCUACUGAAUGGUAUUACAAUGUGGUGUUUGCAUCGAAGGUUGAGCGCAUGGAAUUGAUUGAGCGCUUAUAUGAACUCUUCGAUGGAUCUGAAAAAUAUGUUGUUUGUUACAAUGUGC